rnacentral:rRNA from 1 species
AUUGAACGCUGGCGGCGUGCCUUACACAUGCAAGUCGAACGAGUGGCGAACGGGUGAGUAAUGUAUCGGAAGGUACCCAGUAGCGGGGUAUAACUACGCGAAACAUAGCUAAUACCGCAUACGAUUGGAGCGGCCGAGGGUGUAUUAGCUCGUUGGGGGGGUAACGGCUCACCAAGGCGACGAUCCGUAGCUGGUGUGAGAGGACGACCAGCCACACUGGGACUGAGACACGGCCCAGACUCCGACGGGAGGCAGCAGUAGGGAAUGUUGGGCAAUGGGGGAAACCCUGACCGAGCCAUGCCGCGUGUGGGAUGAAGGCCUUCGGGGCGUAAAGCACUUUUGUCAGGAAAGCGGUACCUGAAGAAUAAGCACCGGCUAACUACGUGCCAGCAGCCGCGGUAAUAC